CUGGCAACUUGGAGGAAUGGCCUACUUAGGAUCAACCUAAGAAUAGAUUGAAAAGGUUAAAUCGAUUUUAAUCGAAUAAAAUUCUAAAUAUAUAAUUGAUAAUGACAAUAUGUAUUUAUGUCUUGACUAAUUACGUGCCAGCUGUCGCGGUAAUACGUAAGAGACUAGUGUUAUUCAUCUUUAAUAGGUUUAAAGGGUACUCAAGCGGUAAAAUUAGCCUAAAAAAGGGACAAUUUAUACUAGAGUUUAAUAUAAGAAGGUCGUACUUAUGGAGGAGAGAUGAUAUUUGUUGAUACUAUAGGGACUGGUGAAGGCGAAGGCAGCCUUUUAUGUAAAAACUGACGCUGAAGGACGAAGGCACAGAGCACGAACAGGAUUAGGUACCCUAGUAGUCUUUGCAGAGAAUGAUGAAUGUCAUAGAUUAGGUGUAAACUUAGUUUAUAAAUGAAAGUGUAAGCAUUUCACCUCAAGAGUAACGUGGCAACGCGGGAACUGAAAUCACUAGACCGUUUCUGACACCAGCAGUGAAGUAUGUUAUUUAAUUCGAUGAUCCACGAAAAACCUUACCACAAUUUGUAUAUAUUACAAGAGUUGCACGGCUGUUUUCAGUUAAUGUUGUGAAGUUAUGGCAAUGGCCAUGAAAUUAACAAAAACCCUUGCUUUAUUUAUAAAAAUUUUUUUGAUAAAGCUGUAUUGAACUUCUACAAAUAUAAUAAGUUCAAAUAAAAGGGACUAAGACAAGUCAUCAUGGCCCUAAUAUUG
rnacentral:rRNA from 1 species